rnacentral:rRNA from 1 species
GUGGGGAAUUUUGGACAAUGGGCGCAAGCCUGAUCCAGCCAUGCCGCGUGAGUGAUGAAGGCCUUAGGGUUGUAAAGCUCUUUCAGUGGGGACGAUAAUGACGGUACCCACAGAAGAAGCCCCGGCUAACUUCGUGCCAGCAGCCGCGGUAAUACGAAGGGGGCUAGCGUUGUUCGGAUUUACUGGGCGUAAAGCGCACGUAGGCGGAUCGUUAAGUCGGGGGUGAAAUCCUGGAGCUCAACUCCAGAACUGCCUUCGAUACUGGCGAUCUUGAGUCCGGAAGAGGUGAGUGGAACUCCUAGUGUAGAGGUGGAAUUCGUAGAUAUUAGGAAGAACACCAGUGGCGAAGGCGGCUCACUGGUCCGGUACUGACGCUGAGGUGCGAAAGCGUGGGGAGCAAACAGGAUUAGAAACCCGGGUAGUCC